AUUGAACGCUGGCGGCAUGCCUUACACAUGCAAGUCGAACGGUAACAGGGAGCUUGCUCCGCUGACGAGUGGCGAACGGGUGAGUAAUGUAUCGGAACGUACCAUUCAGUGGGGGGAUAACGUAGCGAAAGUUACGCUAAUACCGCAUAUUCUGUGAGCAGGAAAGCAGGGGAUCGCAAGACCUUGCGCUGAUUGAGCGGCCGAUAUCAGAUUAGCUAGUUGGUGAGGUAAAGGCUCACCAAGGCGACGAUCUGUAGCGGGUCUGAGAGGAUGAUCCGCCACACUGGAACUGAGACACGGUCCAGACUCCUACGGGAGGCAGCAGUGGGAAUUUGGACAAUGGGGGCAACCCUGAUCCAGCCAUGCCGCGUGAGUGAAGAA
rnacentral:rRNA from 1 species